AACGAACGCUGGCGGCAGGCUUAACACAUGCAAGUCGAACGCCCCGCAAGGGGAGUGGCAGACGGGUGAGUAACGCGUGGGAAUCUACCUAGUUCUACGGAACAACAGUUGGAAACGACUGCUAAUACCGUAUACGCCCUAUGGGGGAAAGAUUUAUCGGAAUUAGAUGAGCCCGCGUAAGAUUAGCUAGUUGGUGGGGUAAUGGCCUACCAAGGCGACGAUCUUUAGCUGGUCUGAGAGGAUGAUCAGCCACACGGGGACUGAGACACGGCCCAGACUCCUACGGGAGGCAGCGGGGGGGAAUAUGGAAAAAUGGGCGCAAGCCUGAUCCAGCCAUGCCGCGUGAGUGAUAAAGGCCUUAGGGUUGUAAAGCUCUUUCACCGAUGAAGAUAAUGACGGUAGUCGGAGGAGAAGCCCCGGCUAACUUCGUGCCAGCAGCCGCAGUAACAC
rnacentral:rRNA from 1 species